CUGACGUUUUUAGCAAUAUGCUGACUAAUAUCAUUCUCUGCUUUUCAAUGGUGUACAUGACUUUCUAUAUUGUGGAAUUUUUAGGAAUGUCAGGCACUCUUGCCUUAGCCGCUGUAGGACUGAAUUUAGAUUCUUUAACUUUUAAACCGAAGAUCGAACUUGUAAUUACUAAGUUCUUAAGAAUUUUUUCAUCUGUAUAUGAACAUUUAAUAUAUGCUUUCUUUGGCAUUGUGAUUGGAUGUGGAGAACUCAGCCACUAUGAAUUUCACACUAUACCUUUCAUAUUCAUUUUAUUUACAACAGUGAAUUUGGUAAGGUUGCUUACUAUUUUGUUAGUGAGCCCUAUUUUGAUGCAUUCAAAUUAUGAAUAUAAUUGGCGAUGGGGAGUUGUAAUCACGUGGUCUGGAAUUAAAGGAGUUUUUAAUUUACUCUGGGCUCCUGAUGUUUAUAAUCUCGCUGAACGAAAAGUGGAAGUACCACAAAUGUUUAUACUCUAUGUACAAGUAAUAUCAUUAUUGACAAUGGGAAUAAAUUCAUACGUGAUGACUCAGUCAGCCAGGAAGUUAGAUUUGUGUGUUCUUUCCCUCCCAAGACAAAUGAUCUUGCAAAAUGCCACUCAGCACAUACAGGAGAUAGUACAGAACACAAUAACUUUAUUUAAAACAGAAAAAAUUUUGACAAAUGUUAACUGGACCUUAGUAGAAGAUAAAACGAGGAUCGAAUACAUUCCUUUUUCCCACGUUUCACAUAAUGAUAUGAAGACAGAAUCCACAACAGAUGAAGCUUUAAUGGAGGAAGCCAGAUUGCAUGUAGCUGCAAUACAAAUGAGUAGCUUUGAAAAACAGCGUAACAAUGGAAUUCUUGAAAUAGAGGCAGCCCGGAUAUUAAUUGGUGCAGCAAAAUGCUAUUAUUCAUGAGUAUUUAUGAUGUUUCAACUUAUAUGAGAACUAGAAGUUGGCUUAUAAAGUUUAAAAAUGUUUUAACUUUCUUGGAAUAUUGUAUAGAAAAGAUACAUUUUAUUCCACCUGAUUAUGUUUUUAUAUGUAUUAGAAUCAACAUUGAAGAUAAUAAUUUUGAAAAGGAAAUAUUUUCAACAAUGUUGGAAUACUUUGGAAUUUUUUAUCCUGGUUAUUGGAAUCAUUGAUAUCUUUUGUGUAUACUUUGUGAAAUUGAGACCAGACAACUUGGCUCUUAUACAGCUUACAGUAAUAAUGGGAUAUUUAAGAAUAAUUAGGUUUCUUCCUCUCUUCAAGAUAAUAGUACCAAUACUGAUAAGAAUUGCAGAUGUGCAGAUCAAAAAGCGCCUCAGCUUGAUGUAUAGUAUUACAAAAGGCUAUAUCAAAAGUCAAGAAGAUGCCAAACUUCUAAUAAAACAAAUAGCUGUCUGUGAAUCAAUAUAUCAGGCUGGCUUCCCAACUAGCUGCUCACUUGGCUCACUGCCAAAUGAGGCGCUAUGAGAAUUCUCCUUGGUGCACAGUGGAGUACAUACUGAUCUUUUCUGAUAACUAUUAGGCAAGGUAGUUAUGCAAGCUACUGACUGUACUAGACUCAUUGAGAUUGACGUCUGAGCAUGGGCAAAGCAGCAGAAUUGACCCAGAGGGAAGAAAUGAGCCAAUAGCUUUUCUAAAACUAGGUGAAAUGUCCUCUACCAUACUUCCUUUUCUCUGAAUUUAAAAGGAAAGCCAGGCUAGGUGUGGUGGCUUAUGCCUGUAAUCCCAGCACUUUGGGAGGCAGAAGUGAGUAGAUCACCUGAGGUCAGCAAGCUGCUGAUAAUCCAAGCAUCUGAGCUUACCCAAAGAAAUAGUAACACCAAUGUCAUGGAUUUGGUUAGCCUCAGUCAACACGGUCUUUGAACAACCAGGAAAGAAUAUAAAUGGAAGACAAAAGAUGAGUUGAAAACUGGAUACCAUUUUAGAAAAGGGUAUUAAUGAUACAAAUAUGAUGUGUGGAGUCAGGUUAAAGACCAAACUACUUUCCUCGCUCAAAUACUAAAGGAUUAUCUGCAAGGAGUUUACUUAGAAGCUACUGAAACAGGUUACUGCUGCAUUUAGUUUAUAAGCAAUGGAUGGACUUCUGUAAAACUUCUUAAUUUUAAGUAGUUGCAUUAUAUUUGGGAUGUUAAAAAAGUCUUCAGGAUAAUAUAAAAUACACUGAAACAUAUGUCCUACCAAAUGAAACCCUGUUUCCAGCUAAGAGCAAAUUUUAACAUAGUGCAUUAUAAAAAGUGUUGUAUAACUGAUAUGUUACUCUCUAAAGCAUAGAACCUGUAAUUUUCAUUUGUGAAAUUGUUAUAAUUAGUGCCUCCCUAAUAUUUUCCCGAGUAUAGCUAUUCUCCCCUUCCCAGUUUGGUAAAUAUUGAAAAACAGAAUUAUAUUCCACAAUCUUAGUAACUUUCAGUAAGUAAGUAACUUUUGCUUUCAGUGAAAUUUAGGAGAAAUUAAUAUUCUCAUAUUGCAUAGUACUGUUUGAUGUCACCUUUCAUUUUAUUUUUAAAAAUCAAAUAAAGUUGAGUUUUAUGGU
rnacentral:lncRNA from 1 species